rnacentral:rRNA from 1 species
UACGUAGGGGGCAAGCGUUGUCCGGAUUUAUUGGGCGUAAAGGGCGCGUAGGUGGUUCUGUAUGUCUACCGUGAAAGCGUACGGCUCAACCGUAUUUUGUCGGUAGAAACUGCAGGACUUGAGGCUGGGAGGGGCUGGUGGAAUUCCCUGUGUAGCGGUGAAAUGCGCAGAUAUCAGGAAGAACACCCGUGGCGAAGGCGGCUCUCUGGGACGGUACUGACGCUGAGACGCGAAAGCGUGGGGAGCGAACAGG